UCGCUUCAGCAGCAUAUAUACUAAAAUUGGAAUGAUACAGAGAAGAUUAGCAUGGCCCCUGCACAAGGAUGACACCCCCUGAUAUUAAAAAAAAAUCUUAUUG